rnacentral:lncRNA from 12 species
AGUUGGACAAAUGUGGUCAAGAACUGCUGUCAGCCCUAUACUCCCCCAUGGAGAAUAUGCAAGAGAAUGAAAAAGCCAAAGGCCAAAAAGAAAGAGUGGAAGAGAACCAGAUCAGCAAAACUGGGGAUAGUCACCACUUCUUCUACCCUUGCCACGGUCUCUCCAGAAGACUGGGAGCCGGUCACACAGACCAAGGGUGAGGUCCUCAUAAUUGACCUUUCAGUUUUCAUGCUGGUAGCUUUCCUGGGAAGGUCAACGGUGCCCACUGAACCUUCUAUUGGCUUAUUGGCUGAGCUCAUUGAUGAAGAAGCCUGGAGUUCAUCACUUUUUCUUAUCUUCUGGCUGAGAUGGCAGUCAAUGAGGAAUGACUGCCGAAAGUUUCAGAAGGACACAUGGGAAUCAUUUAAUCUGACCAAUAAAAUAAGCUAUUUAUGUAUGGAACAGUUAUAAUAACCUCAACCACUAAGGCAAUAUUUCUCUAGAAUAAUUUUUAGGUUUAAGACUAAUUUUAUUCCUAGCUUAUAAGGCUUAAAAUUCAGGAUUCCCUUCUUCGGCAGAAAUGAAUCAAUUCAGCCAGGAAUAAUCAUAUUCUAGAAUGACCCCUUUCUGGCAUCUAGAUACUUGCUAACAAGAUAGCUUCAUGUUUUGACAUCACUGAUAUACAUGAGAUCAGGCUCCACGUACCCAGAAUUUUUCACCACAGUGUUCAUUUCUAUACUGUAAAACUAAGUCCAAGUGCUUUGAAAUUAGGCCGUUUAUUGUCAGAGUCUUAACUAUCAAUACCAUAUCUUCUAACUUAAUAAACAGCAGGGGCUUUAAAUAUGUUUUGCCUAA